rnacentral:rRNA from 1 species
GAUGAACGCUAGCGGCAGGCCUAACACAUGCAAGUCGAGGGGUAACAGAAUAGCUUGCUAUUGCUGACGACCGGCGCACGGGUGCGUAACGCGUAUACAAUCUACCUUAUACAGGAGGAUAGCCCUAAGAAAUUGGGAUUAAUACUCCAUAGUAAUUUGAAUUCGCAUGAAUUUAAGUUUAAAACUUCGGUGGUAUAAGAUGAGUAUGCGUGAUAUUAGCUAGUUGGUAAGGUAACGGCUUACCAAGGCGACGAUAUCUAGGGGGCCUGAGAGGGUUAUCCCCCACACUGGUACUGAGACACGGACCAGACUCCUACGGGAGGCAGCAGUGAGGAAUAUUGGACAAUGGGCGCAAGCCUGAUCCAGCCAUCCCGCGUGCAGGAUGACGGCCCUAUGGGUUGUAAACUGCUUUUUUAAA